rnacentral:rRNA from 1 species
AUUGACCUCGGAUCAGGUAGGGAUACCCGCUGAACUUAAGCAUAUCAAUAAGCGGAGGAAAAGAAACCAACAGGGAUUGCCUCAGUAACGGCGAGUGAAGCGGCAACAGCUCAAAUUUGAAAUCUGGUCCUUUCAGGCCCCGAGUUGUAAUUUGUAGAGGAUGUUUCGGGUGCGGCGCGGGUCUAAGUCCUUUGGAACAGGGCGUCAGAGAGGGUGAGAAUCCCGUAUGUGACCGUGGCUCGAGCCCAUGUGAAACCUCUUCGACGAGUCGAGUUGUUUGGGAAUGCAGCUCAAAAUGGGUGGUAAAUUUCAUCUAAAGCUAAAUACUGGCUGGAGACCGAUAGCGCACAAGUAGAGUGAUCGAAAGAUGAAAAGCACUUUGGAAAGAGAGUUAAACAGUACGUGAAAUUGUUGAAA